ACGGAAAGGCCCUUCGGGGUACUCGAGUGGCGAACGGGUGAGUAACACGUGGGUGAUCUGCCCUGCACUCUGGGAUAAGCCUGGGAAACUGGGUCUAAUACCGGAUAGGACCACACACUUCAUGGUGAGUGGUGCAAAGCUUUUGCGGUGUGGGAUGAGCCCGCGGCCUAUCAGCUUGUUGGUGGGGUAAUGGCCCACCAAGGCGACGACGGGUAGCCGGCCUGAGAGGGUGACCGGCCACACUGGGACUGAGAUACGGCCCAGACUCCUACGGGAGGCAGCAGUGGGGAAUAUUGCACAAUGGGCGCAAGCCUGAUGCAGCGACGCCGCGUGAGGGAUGACGGCCUUCGGGUUGUAAACCUCUUUCAGUAGGGACGAAGCGAAAGUGACGGUACCUACAGAAGAAGGACCGGCCAACUACGUGCCAGCAGCCGCGGUAAUACGUAGGGUCCGAGCGUUGUCCGGAAUUACUGGGCGUAAAGAGCUCGUAGGUGGUUUGUCGCGUUGUUCGUGAAAACUCACAGCUUAACUGUGGGCGUGCGGGCGAUACGGGCAGACUAGAGUACUGCAGGGGAGACUGGAAUUCCUGGUGUAGCGGUGGAAUGCGCAGAUAUCAGGAGGAACACCGGUGGCGAAGGCGGGUCUCUGGGCAGUAACUGACGCUGAGGAGCGAAAGCGUGGGUAGCGAACAGGAUUAGAUACCCUGGUAGUCCACGCCGUAACGGUGGGUACUAGGUGUGGGUUUCCUUCCUUGGGAUCCGUGCCGUAGCUACGCAUUAAGUACCCCGCCUGGGGAGUACGGUCGCAAGACUAAAACUCAAAGGAAUUGACGGGGCCCGCACAAGCGGCGGAGCAUGUGGAUAAUUCGAUGCAACGCGAGAACCUUACCUGGGUUUGACAUGCACAGGACGUACCUAGAGAUAGGUAUCCUUGCC
rnacentral:rRNA from 1 species